GUGACAAACCUCUCGUUUGUGAGAUAGUCUCUGCGUAGAAAGUAGCCGGAAGGGGCCGGGGAUUUAGCUCAAUGGUUCCCCCGCAUGCCUCUCAAGGUCCCGAGUUCAAUCCCCGUCCAUAGUUGACCAACUCCAAGUCAAGAAGACAUGCGUGAAGGGCCUGGGCGGAGGAAGGCUGCUCAAGUCAUGGCAACCAGGAAGCAGAGAGCAAAGGGAGGAACUGGGGAGGGACAUACAGUCUACCAGCAUUCAUCCUGUUGCUGAAGCUAUAGCCAACAUCUCAGAGAGCAGAUCAGCUGCUCCAAUCCUUUCAAUUUCUUAAUUAAAAGGAAAAUGACUUGCCCAAAGUUUUUUUUAUCCUAAAAAUUGCUCUCUCUUCCACAGAUCCCCAUUAAAGAUUAUUGAGGGCAAUGCAUGCUUUUGCCCUGUGCACCC
rnacentral:lncRNA from 1 species